GAUGAACGCUGGCGGCGUGCCUAAUACAUGCAAGUCGAGCGAACGGACGCGACGCUUGCUUCUCUGUUGUUAGCGGCGGACGGGUGUGUCACACGUGUAUCACCUCCCUAUCUGACUGGGAUCUCUUCGAGACACCGGCGCUAAUCCCGUAUGAUCUUUUGCACCGCAUGGUUCAAAGGUGAAAUACGGCCUUGCUGUCACUUCUAGCUGCUUCCGGGCUGCAUUAGCUGGUUGUUAAGUUAACGGCUUACCAAGGCAACGAUGCAUAGCCGACCGGAGAGGGUGAUCGGCCACACGGGAACGGAGACACGGUCAAGACGCCUAAGGGAGGCAGCAGAAGGGAAUCUGACGCAAUGGGGGAAAGCAUGACGGAGCAACGCCGAGUGAGUGAUGAAGGUCUUCGGAGCGUAAAACUCUGUUAUUAGGGAAGAACAGAUGUGGAAGUAACUGUGCACAGAGUGACGGUACCUAAUCAGAAAGCAACGGCUAACUACGUG
rnacentral:rRNA from 1 species